UCGGGAAUUUUGGGCAAUGGGCGAAAGCCUGACCCAGCAACGCCGCGUGAAGGAUGAAGUCUUUCGGGAUGUAAACUUCGUAAAAAUAGGAAGAAUAAAUGACGGUACUAUUUGUAAGGUCCGGCUAACUACGUGCCAGCAGCCGUGGUAAUACGUAGGGACCAAGCGUUGUUCGGAUUUACUGGGCGUAAAGGGCGCGUAGGCGGCGUGGUAAGUCACUUGUGAAAUCUCCGAGCUUAACUCGGAACGGUCAGAUGAUACUGCUUUGCUAGAGUGCAGAAGGGGCAAUCGGAAUUCUUGGUGUAGCGGUGAAAUGCGUAGAUAUCAAGAGGAACACCUGAGGUGAAGACGGGUUGCUGGGCUGACACUGACGCUGAGGCGCGAAAGCCAGGGGAGCAAACGGGAUUAGAUACCCCGGUAGUCCCUGAGCGGGCUGGCAAGGCGCAU
rnacentral:rRNA from 1 species